UUAUUUAUAGAUCUCAGCAUUUCCGACCACACUUGAAGGCAGCUUCAUUUCCCGGAGAAAGAGAGUAAGAAAAGAGACGGAGGGACUGAGAAAACAGUCGGCUGUUCCACAAACUCCUGGGCAGUUCAGUGCUUUGGUGUUUUAAAACUUUCUUGGGGCAGCGAUAGAGGCAGUGAUGUUUCCUGUUUCCUGUUUCCUGUACGGGACUCUCACACCGCCUCAAAACACUCUGACAAGUCUGAUCCACGCUGACUGGCCACCAUUACAUUGUUGCGUUUCUCCAAAAGUUGCAUGACACAGACUCACCUCCAUCACCGCUAUGUCCCUGGACAUCUGUCUCUGGACUUUAGGGUGUUGGACCUUGAUGGCCACUGUCCUCCCAUCAUGCAGCACUGCCUUGUGGACCUGGGCUAAGGAGGCUGCACCCUGAGGCUUCUCUUCAAAGGAGACAAAUAACUCUGACAGCUGCAGGAGAGACAUAGGGAUGAAGAAGAAAAGAGUGCAGAGCACAGAGUAAACAGAAUGAUAAAGAAGAUGGGAUGGAAAGGGGUGUGUGGAGUUGGGAUUGGGAUAGGAGUCUGAUCAUCAAUCUGAUCAUCUUUAUUUACAAGCUAUUAUUAGAUAUUUUACAAUGAAAGAGGUUAAACAAAUUACAGUGGGUAUAACUAUGAUUAAUUAUGUCCAUUUCUGCUUUGGCCAAGUAUGGAUUUGUUAUGCCAUGGCAAUAACACACCAAAUCAACUGAAGCAAGGGGAGCUAAUUGAUAUGCAAUAAUGUAAUGAUGAUGGUUGUAUUAGGCCUGUGUUUGAGACUACUGACCUGAAACCAAACUGACUGAGACCAAGAAGAGGAAACACAAGAGGCGCAAUAGGAUUUUUUUUACUGAUACUAUGACAACUGUGAAUUCUCAAAUAGCGGUCUUUAUUUACCUCAACUGCCGGGCCUUUAUCUGAGACAGGCUUAUAUUAGAGAUAUAGGCCAUUAACUGUUAUAAGUAUCCUUUAUCAUCAUUUAGUAAGAAGCCUCCCUGUUUAGUGUUCUCAUCUGUUUUAAUUAGCUGUUAAUAGAAGCUCAACACUUCCUCUGUGUUUACGUGUCCUCUUGUACUGUAUAAUGUAUUUCAGUAUAUUGUACAUUUCCACAGCACUAAGUCCAUCAGCACAAAAACUUGUCAUGUAGUCUCACAUUAAUAGAUGUCUCCACAGUGCUGUCUCAGAGCUGGAGUAGGGUCUGGCAACAUUAUAGUAUACUGUAAAAAAACGCUGUUUGUAUUUCUUUAAACCAAUCACAAUCGUCUUGGCUGGUGCUAAGCCCUGGAUGCAGCGACGGAACCUCUGCAAAAUAGAUAAAUAGCAGAAGGGGAGGUGAAUGCCUGACACAUGACAGAGUUCCUCCAACACAGCAAAUGUCAGAGCCAACUCCUGAGCAGGUUCUCUUGACACUUGCUGUGACACCUCAACUUCCACCUGCACAGACUCUUACACUCAGAACUAGAUCUGGUAGAGCCAUUGUUCCACCCGGAAGACAUAAUAACCUGUAAACGGGAAAAAGUGAAAAAUAAAAAGAGUGUUAAA